GGAGUAUCGACCCUCUCUGUGCCGAAGCUAACGCUUUAAGUGUCCCGCCUGGGGAGUACGGUCGCAAGGCUAAAGCUCAAAGGAAAUGACGGGGGCCCGCACAAGCAGCGGAGCGUGUGGUUUAAUUCGAUGCUACACGAAGAACCUUACCAAGAUUUGACAUGCAUGUAGUAGUGAACUGAAAGGGAAACG
rnacentral:rRNA from 1 species